rnacentral:rRNA from 1 species
GUGCUUAACACAUGCAAGUCGAACGGAAAGGCCCUGCUUUUGUGGGGUGCUCGAGUGGCGAACGGGUGAGUAACACGUGAGUAACCUGCCCUUGACUUUGGGAUAACUUCAGGAAACUGGGGCUAAUACCGGAUAGAGAGCUCCUGCUGCAUGGUGGGGGUUGGAAAGUUUCGGCGGUUGGGGAUGGACUCGCGGCUUAUCAUCUUGUUGGUGGGGUAGAGGCUUACCAAAGCUUUGACGGGUAGCCGGCCUGAGAGGGUGACCGGCCACAUUGGGACUGAGAUACGGCCCACACUCCUACCGCAGGCAGCAGUGGGGAAUAUUGCACAAUGGGCGGAAGCCUGAUGCAGCAACGCCGCAUGCGGGAUGACGGCCUUCGGGUUGUAAACCGCUUUCGCCUGUGACGAAGCGUGAGUGACGGUAAUGGGUAAAGAAGCACCGGCUAACUACGUGCCAGCAGCCGCGGCGAUACGUAGGGUGCGAGCGUCGUCCGGAUUUAUUGGGCGUAAAGGGCUCGUAGGUGGUUGAUCGCGUCGGAAGUGUAAUCUUGGGGCUUAACCCUGAUCAUGCUUUCGAUACGGGUCGACUUGAGGAAGGUAGGGAAGAAUGAAAUUCCUGGAGGAGCGGCGGAAUGCGCAAAUAUCAGGAGGGAACACCAGUGGCGAAGGCGGUUCUCUGAACCUCUCCCUGACGCUGAGGAGCGAAAGCGUGGGGGAGCGAACAGGCUUAGAUACCCUGGUAGUCCACGCUGUAAACGGUGGGGUACUAGGUGUGGGGUCCAUUCCACGGGGUUCCGUGCCGUAGCUAACGCUUUUAAGUACCCCGCCUGGGGAGUACGGCCGCAAGGCUAAAACUCAAAGGAAUUGACGGGGCCCCGCACAAGCGGCGGAGCAUGCGGAUUAAUUCGAUGCAACGCGUAGAACCUUACCUGGGUUUGACAUGGAUCGGAAGCGCUCAGAGAUGGGUGUGCCUCUUUUGGGGUCGGUUCACAGGUGGUGCAUGGCUGUCGUCAGCUCGUGUCGUGAGAUGUUGGGUUAAGUCCCGCAACGAGCGCAACCCUUGUUCACUGUUGCCAGCACGUUAUGGUGGGGACUCAGUGGAGACCGCCGGGGUCAACUCGGAGGAAGGUGGGGAUGACGUCAAGUCAUCAUGCCCCUUAUGUCCAGGGCUUCACGCAUGCUACAAUGGCUGGUACAGAGAGUGGCGAGCCUGUGAGGGUGAGCGAAUCUCGGAAAGCCGGUCUCAGUUCGGAUUGGGGUCUGCAACUCGACCUCACGAAGUCGGAGUCGCUAGUAAUCGCAGAUCAGCAACGCUGCGGUGAAUACGUUCCCGGGGCUUGUACACACCGCCCGUCAAGUCAUGAAAGUUGGUAACACCCGAAGCCGGUGGCCUAACCGUUGUGGGGGAGCCGUCGAAGGUGGGACUGG